rnacentral:rRNA from 1 species
UACAGAGGAUGCAAGCGUUAUCCGGAAUGAUUGGGCGUAAAGCGUCUGUAGGUGGCUUUUUAAGUCCGCCGUCAAAUCCCAGGGCUCAACUCUGGACAGGCGGUGGAAACUACCACGCUGGAGUACGGUAGGGGCAGAGGGAAUUUCCGGUGGAGCGGUGAAAUGCGUAGAGAUCGGAAAGAACACCAACGGCGAAAGCAGGUCUCUGGGCCACUACUGACGCUGAGAAGCGAAAGCAUGGGGAGCGAACAGG